rnacentral:lncRNA from 12 species
AAACUACUGGCCAGACCCUGUUCAGAAUUCUUCUAUUUGCUUAGCUCCAUUGUGACUCCAGCAAAGAGUUAAGCUAAAAAAAAAAAAAAAAAAAAAAUUCCUUAACUCAUGUACCUUCAGUGUUCUGUGGGAACAAUGGAAUAGAAAAGCAGCACAUUAUAGGCCUCACCCAAAGAAGGGGCUCAGCUUGAUACCCAGAGGUGAUGUUUGCUUAGCUCAAAAUGACUUUUUUCUCUUGGCCACAACACCCAAUGGAAUGUGUCUCCGGCAGCCAAAAUUGAACAUAGUUGAUUGAACAAGGGCUUGAACCCAGAGAAGGAGGAGGAGGAGGAAGAGGAGAAGAAGAAAGAGGAAGAGGCAAGAAGACAUAGUGUUGAUUCACAAACUGGCCCCACACACGGAGAGCCAGGAGAGAUGGGAAACACAGACAGGCCACUCCAGGCUUGAUGUUUCCUGCUUCCAGGACAAGCAUCCAAACUCUAAAAUUCCAGGGAGAGACUAUUUAGCAGAAUGUCUGGCCUCUUCCGUAAAUGAAAAGACAGGUAAUAUUCAUAAAAGAACACUUCUAUGAAAUUUCCAUCAUCGAGUUCCAGCUAAAGCAGCUUAGAUGAGUGUCUAUUAGUCUGCAUUUUCCCCCAUGGUGGUAAGUGAGAAUGGGGUGGCCCCUGGAACUAUUCAGGACAAAUAGUUUUCCUCUCCUCUCCAUUAGCUGCCAGUUCUUUCCUUCCAUCAGGAUUCCAUCAACAUAUUUUCAACAAAACAUGACAUUAAAGGCGUGAUUGUG